rnacentral:rRNA from 1 species
AAGUCGAGCGGACAGAAGGGAGCUUGCUCCCGGAUGUUAGCGGCGGACGGGUGAGUAACACGUGGGUAACCUGCCUGUAAGACUGGGAUAACUCCGGGAAACCGGAGCUAAUACCGGAUAGUUCCUUGAACCGCAUGGUUCAAGGAUGAAAGACGGUUUCGGCUGUCACUUACAGAUGGACCCGCGGCGCAUUAGCUAGUUGGUGGGGUAAUGGCUCACCAAGGCGACGAUGCGUAGCCGACCUGAGAGGGUGAUCGGCCACACUGGGACUGAGACACGGCCCAGACUCCUACGGGAGGCAGCAGUAGGGAAUCUUCCGCAAUGGACGAAAGUCUGACGGAGCAACGCCGCGUGAGUGAUGAAGGUUUUCGGAUCGUAAAGCUCUGUUGUUAGGGAAGAACAAGUGCGAGAGUAACUGCUCGCACCUUGACGGUACCUAACCAGAAAGCCACGGCUAACUACGUGCCAGCAGCCGCGGUAAUACGUAGGUGGCAAGCGUUGUCCGGAAUUAUUGGGCGUAAAGGGCUCGCAGGCGGUUUCUUAAGUCUGAUGUGAAAGCCCCCGGCUCAACCGGGGAGGGUCAUUGGAAACUGGGAAACUUGAGUGCAGAAGAGGAGAGUGGAAUUCCACGUGUAGCGGUGAAAUGCGUAGAGAUGUGGAGGAACACCAGUGGCGAAGGCGACUCUCUGGUCUGUAACUGACGCUGAGGAGCGAAAGCGUGGGGAGCGAACAGGAUUAGAUACCCUGGUAGUCCACGCCGUAAACGAUGAGUGCUAAGUGUUAGGGGGUUUCCGCCCCUUAGUGCUGCAGCUAACGCAUUAAGCACUCCGCCUGGGGGAGUACGGUCGCAAGACUGAAACUCAAAGGAAUUGACGGGGGGCCCGCA